rnacentral:lncRNA from 1 species
CUAUGGUGUACAACUCUCUUACCUCAGAUUCACAGUCAGUGAAGGAGUAGAUAGAGAUGUCAUCAGAGUUGGAGGAUGAGAUGACCCCAUCAUAAUUUCUCUCCAUCAGCCGAGUCACCCUUCCAGACUGAGGAGACAGACAAAGGCAUGUACUUAGGGCAGCCAUAAAAUACACUGGCAUUGACUGCCAAGAAAAUGUAGAAUAUUUAGGCAAUCCAACAUAGUUGUACAAGUAGUGAGUAAUUCAUGGGUUAUUGAAAAUGCAAGUGUAUUGAAAUGCAAUAAAUGCAACUCCCAUAACAUUAGGGAUGGGACUAAAGACCUUCCACACUGUAGGAUUCUUUAGCAUUUCCAAUGAAUGAUUGUCAAUUCAACCAAGCCAACCAAAAUGGCCAUAUGAAUCAACAGAUUGAUCUAUCUGUUGUGUCUCUAUGGGAACAGCAGAGAUGUCUGACCUGGCUCAGAGGCUCUGGAUUGAUGUCCCGUCCAUCCCAAGAUGUCUGUUCCUGCCCACAGCUCUCAAUGAUUGGCUGUGAACAGUAAAGAAAAAAUGUCGGAUUUGACUUACAGGCCUUGGUCUUCUGUGCACCUUACCGGUUGGCCACAUCACAGAAUCAGGGGUGUUCACCCUCACUGGAUUCAACUGUCAACACAACACUCCAUUUAAAAUGUGAUGACAAAGACAGAACACAAACUAAAUAAAUUGGUAUUUACCACAUAAGGGCGGCGCCUUAAAGCUCUUUUGAUUCUCUCAUCACUACGGUCCAUCUUGCUUUCUGAGGGAUACAUUUUCAUCAACUGAUUGGCACAAAACAUAUCCUAACACACACACACACACACACACACACAGACAAAUGGCACGCCAUUCCCUAUAUAGUGCACUUACUUUGACUUGUGCCCAUAUAGUGCACUUAUUUUGAUCUGAGCCCACUGGGGAUAGGUCAAAAGUAGUACACUACAGGGUGCCAUUUGGGACCUCUCCAAAGAAUGUAAGAGCCUACCAGACAUUCUAAACGCCAAAUCACCUUGUGCAGUGCGAACGGGUCUAACCAACCGUUUCCAAUCGUAGUAUUCUCUGCACAGCGUCAGCUAGGGCAGACUAUGCGGCAAAAGAUUAC